AAGUCGUAACAAGGUUUCCGUAGGUGAACCUGCGGAAGGAUCAUUAACGAGUUCAUGCCCUCACGGGUAGACCUCCCACCCUUUGUAUACCUUACCUUUUGUUGCUUUGGCGGGCCGCCUAGCUACUGGCUUCGGCUGGUAAGUGCCCGCCAGAGGACCCCAAACCCAAACCCAUUUAUAGUGUCGUCUGAGCAAAAGUUUAAUAUUUAAAACUUUCAACAACGGAUCUCUUGGCUCUGGCAUCGAUGAAGAACGCAGCGAAAUGCGAUAAGUAAUGUGAAUUGCAGAAUUCAGUGAAUCAUCGAAUCUUUGAACGCACAUUGCGCCCCUUGGUAUUCCGAGGGGCAUGCCUAUUCGAGCGUCAUUAUCACCCCUCAAGCUCCGGCUUGGUGUUGAGGCCUGCUGUCAAGGCACCCUCUAAAAUCAGUGGCAGUGCCGUCAGGCUCUAAGCGUAGUAAACCCAUCGCUAUAGACCCGGGCGGACCCUCGCCAGAACCCCCCCAUUUUUAAUGAUUGACCUCGGAUUAGGUAGGGAUACCCGCUGAACUUAAGCAUAUCAAUAAGCGGAGGAAAAGAAACCAACAGGGAUUGCCUCAGUAACGGCGAGUGAAGCGGCAAAAGCUCAAAUUUGAAAUCUGGCCCUUUUAGGGUCCGAGUUGUAAUUUGUAGAAGAUGUUUCGGGUGUGGCUCCGGUUUAAGUUCUUUGGAAUAUUACAUCAUAGAGGGUGAGAAUCCCGUAUGUGACCGGCAGCCUUCGCCCAUGUGAAACUCUUUCGACGAGUCGAGUUGUUUGGGAAUGCAGCUCAAAAUGGGAGGUAUAUUUCUUCUAAAGCUAAAUAUAGGCCAGAGACCGAUAGCGCACAAGUAGAGUGAUCGAAAGAUGAAAAGCACUUUGGAAAGAGAGUUAAACAGUACGUGAAAUUGUUGAAAGGGAAGCGCUUGCAACCAGACUUGCACGCAGUUGAUCAUCCGGGGUUCUCCCCGGGGCACUCGGCUGCGUUCAGGCCAGCAUCGGUUUUGGUGGUUGGAUAAAGGCCUUGGGAAUGUGGCUUCCUUCGGGGAGUGUUAUAGCCCUCGGUGCAAUGCAGCCUACCGGGACCGAGGACCGCGCUUCGGCUAGGAUGCUGGCGUAAUGGUUGUAAGCGACC
rnacentral:rRNA from 1 species